rnacentral:tRNA from 1 species
CUGCCCGUAGCAUAAUGGCUAAUGCUUCAGAUUCCGAUUCUGACGAUUGGGGGUUCGAGUCCCUUCGGGUGGACCA